UAUCGUUUGUGCACAAUUUGCUUUGUUUACGUGAAACGCAGUUACCGGUCACUCGACCGGUGCUGAAAAUGCAGGAUAAAAAUGUUACAUCGGUUCUUGCGGAGUUGCCAGGGGGGUAAUAUGCGGUGCAUCGCGCCUCCUCUGCAUGUAGUACGAAGCAAAUGUAAAUAAACAAUCCCACAAUUUUUUCGUUAGUCAGCAGUAGUGUAGGUUAACCAAUAUCCUACAAGAUUCCAGUUCGAAAAAUGUUACACUUGCCAAGCGGGGUGGCCCAGGGUGGCCCGCCUUUCCCAAGCGGCGAGGCCCGGAUAAUACAUCUUAGGUAGGCUUGAUUUGUUCGUGGAUGACAGGCUUACUCCCCCCCUGGGAGUUGCAGCAUUCGUCAUCCGUAUUUCGUGUCUGUGGAAGGGCUCGAGGCAUUCCAGUGAAGGAUCCGAGUGCACUGGUCAAGUGCAGCUUGCACCUGCUCGAGAAUGCACUGUUGACAUGAGACGAUGUAUUCAGUUGAUGUGAAGAAAAGCAAUUUCAUGGCAUUUCGAGACAACAUUAAAAUCUGUGACUGCUAGGCGGUUUUUAAUAGAACAGCCAACAUUAGCUGAAUAUCUAUAGACAUCAUGCAUUCUCUACAUAGUUAUAGACCGGCUCUCUGCUACAAUUCAAAUUAGCUGAGAAUAAUACCGCACCUCGUGGUUGGUUAGAACGCUAAUGAAUGCCGAAAUAAUGAAUGGUUAUGGUUCAAUCCGAGAUCCGCCCUCGGGCACAAACGGAACUUCUGGAGCGUAACACAAACAUAAUGCGCCCAAAACUUCAACUCGAUUCUUUUCAGGCCCGCAAGGCAUUUGCUUAGGCUGGCGAUACAAUCUCGGGUGGUAUUUAUGUUCCGAAUCUCGUAGCAGAGUUUGAUGGAUAGCUGCAUAAUUUACCAGCUUCCCAGCGGGAUACUUUCGGAGCUUCUGACCAGAACUGCAGUUCCUUCCCAUCAUCGUCCGACCAUGAAGCUGAUCCAGGAAUCCACCGGUGUCGCUGAUUUAAAAUCCACCCGACUGAUUUAAA